GACGAACGCUGGCGGCGUGCUUAACACAUGCAAGUCGAACGGAAAGGCCCUGCUUUUGUGGGGUGCUCGAGUGGCGAACGGGUGAGUAACACGUGAGUAACAUGCCCUUGACUUUGGGAUAACUUCAGGAAACUGGGGCUAAUACCGGAUAGGAGCUCCUGCUGCAUGGUGGGGGUUGGAAAGUUUCGGCGGUUGGGGAUGGACUCGCGGCUUAUCAGCUUGUUGGUGGGGUAGUGGCUUACCAAGGCUUUGACGGGUAGCCGGCCUGAGAGGGUGACCGGCCACAUUGGGACUGAGAUACGGCCCAGACUCCUACGGGAGGCAGCAGUGGGGAAUAUUGCACAAUGGGCGGAAGCCUGUUGCAGCAACGCCGCGUGCGGGAUGACGGCCUUCGGGUUGUAAACCGCUUUCGCCUGUGACGAAGCGUGAGUGACGGUAAUGGGUAAAGAAGCACCGGCUAACUACGUG
rnacentral:rRNA from 1 species